UAAAAGUACAUACUGGCAAUUUAUUCUUUUCUUUGGAAACACCAAAAGAUGCAUUUUUUUUAAAUGUGUUUUAAUUAAACAGUCGCUGCUUUUAACGUAACGACACUCCCCGUCAGCCACUCUGAACGCAACUAACGUGAACUCGUAAACAUUUGUGUAGAAUUUCCUGAAAAUAAUUAAACAUGUGUUGGGGGCCGGUGAUCACGCUUGCGCAUUAGGGCUGCAUUGAGGUGUGUUUCUGUUGUUUGCGCAUGCGUUGCCGUCUUCUAGGAGAACGGUAAUUGCUGGUUUGCCGUUUACUAUUGUAAGCAGCAGUUGUGAAAAUGGCGCAUAGGAGUAAAAAGCUCUCUUCUUUGGUAGACCGAGAAAAAUACGUCUCUCGUAUGGUAGGUGUACUUCGUAAAUGCCACAUUGAGUACUAAUAGUGGAUUGAAACGUUCGGAAUAAACAAAAAAAUAUUUUUUAACCUACUCGAGAUUAUCGAAAGGCCGAGUUGGUAUCGAUUUAUUUGGUUUUGUAGUAGCAAAAGAAGGUGAUCCUGAUCACCUACGAUUACGAAUUUGUGUCAAUUUUUUAUAAGACAAUCCGCAAAAGUGUCAUCUUUUUAAUUUAUUGUGAUUUGUGUUGUAAGUUGUACGCAAUAACAUAAAAUGUGGGUUAACGCCAUAGGAACUACAUAUCUACGACGCCUGUUUUUGGUUUUGGCCUAUUUAUCGUUAGUUUUUUGACCUUAUGCAUGUGCAUAUGUCGAGUUACAAAAAAGACAGAAGUGAUAGAACAAAAAAAAUGAGGGAACGCAAACAGAAAAAGUUAUAUUCGGAAGACUGGGCUCUUGGAGACGAAGACAUCGAAGGACGUCGUCUGUUUUCCCUCCAAGAAAAAUUGGAAGAUCCGCGAUUUACUCAGCACAAUUUUGUCAAAGAAAUGCAUGGUAGCGAAUUAACAGUGGCAUAUUUUCAAAA
rnacentral:misc_RNA from 1 species